UAUUUCAGCAAACAGAGACAACUCUGAUGGCUGCCUAUGUGCCUAUAUAUACCCAUACCUAGUGUUUGGUGAUGUUUAAGCCGAGCGGAGCAAAUUUCCGUUUGCUGUUUUCAUGGACUUUUCCGAGUCUCUCGAUAAUCUCCAACAAACAGAAUGGUUUCCUGAUACCUGGCCGUUAGGUCACCUAGCAGUCAGUUAAACUUAAGCCAAGCGAAGGAAAUCUCUAUGGUUAUUUUCAUGAUUCCUGUUUCUCCAUGUCUUACCACAAUUUUCAAUGUUCCGGAGAACUGACAGUGCCCCGCAGAGUCAUUACGUCUAGCCUCAAAAUACACACUAUGGAAUGCUUCUAUUUCUGAAAGAUUACGAAGGACCACACCACUCCAGACUCCUGUUCAAUAAUUUUAUUUCACAACUUUUGCUGUAACAAUGGCUGCUGUCUACUGCCACUUCAAGGUUCCUGUUCCACGGCUGUAUUUCUAGAAACCUGCACCUACAUCAGCAGUGGUCUACAUUGAAUACUACUUAUAGGGAAAAUGACACUCGAGAUCUUCUUUUAUGUUAGGUAUCAAGGCGCAAGAAGAUGAAAUUAUAAUUGAUUAUUUUGUGAUGACACGUCUUAAAUAUGAAAUGAAUCCCCUAACAACGGCGAUAAGAAAACGAGUAAAGAAGACUGAUAUACUUAUUAUGUAGAAAAUAACUAUAAGGAUUUAUUUAUUAAGUUUUUGUACAUAA